rnacentral:rRNA from 1 species
UCCGUUGGUGAACCAGCGGAGGGAUCAUUACCGAGUUAUCCAACUCCCAACCCCUGCGAAUUAUACCUUUAAUUGUUGCUUCGGCGGGACUUCGCGCCCGCCGGGGACCCAAACCUUCUGAAUUUUUUAAUAAGUAUCUUCUGAGUGGUUAAAAAAAUGAAUCAAAACUUUCAACAACGGAUCUCUUGGUUCUGGCAUCGAUGAAGAACGCAGCGAAAUGCGAUAAGUAAUGUGAAUUGCAGAAUUCAGUGAAUCAUCGAAUCUUUGAACGCACAUUGCGCCCGCCAGUAUUCUGGCGGGCAUGCCUGUCCGAGCGUCAUUUCAACCCUCGAACCCCUCCGGGGGGUCGGCGUUGGGGAUCGGGAACACCCCUCAGACGGGAUCCCGGCCCCCGAAAUACAGUGGCGGUCUCGCCGCAGCCUCUCCUGCGCAGUAGUUUGCACAACUCGCACCGGGAGCGCGGCGCGUCCACGUCCGUAAAACACCCAACUUUCUGAAAUGUUGACCUCGGAUCAGGUAGGAAUACCCGCUGAACUUAAGCAUAUCAAUAAGCGGAGGA